UGACAGAAUUGACAUAGCAAACACAGGUGAAUGACAAAGAUAACCAUAGAGAGAGGAGGAAUCACUGUUAAAUGUAAGUUUUUUUUUUACAGGAUGUUGAAGACAAUGAGAUUAUAGACAGCCCACUAACAGAGACAGAGUAAUGACCCAUUGCAACAGAAGAGCCAUAACAACAAUGAAGGGCUUUACCAGUGUAGUAAGGUGGGGUACCUAGCUAAACAUAGACGGUGACGUUUUGUUUGAAGGCUAGACUUCCAGAGAAGGAUCAACUAAAGCUGAAGAGGACUCUCCUUCCAAAGAGAAAUAACACAGAGUAACAGAAUCCAUUCCAGCUGAAGAGGACUCUCCUUCCAAAGAGAAAUAACACAGAGUAACAGAAUCCAUUCCAGCUGAAGAGGACUCUCCUUCCAAAGAGAAAUAACAGAGUAACAGAAUCCAUUCCAGCUGAAGAGGACUCUCCUUCCAAAGAGAAAUAACAGAGUAACAGAAUCCAUUCCAGCUGAAGAGGACUCUCCUUCCAAAGAGAAAUAACACAGAG